rnacentral:rRNA from 1 species
AGAGUUUGAUCCUGGCUCAGGAUGAACGCUAGCGGCGGGCUUAAUACAUGCAAGUCGAGGGGCAGCAUAACACUUCGGUGUUGAUGGCGACCGGCGAACGGGUGAGUAUCGCGUAUGUAACCUGCCUACUACAGAGGGAUAGCCCAUGGAAACGUGGAUUAAUACCUUAUAGCACAUUUAAACUUCAUGGUUAAAAUGUUAAAGAUUUAUCGGUAGUAGAUGGACAUGCGUCUGAUUAGGUAGUUGGUGAGGUAACGGCUCACCAAGCCAACGAUCAGUAGGGGGUUUGAGAGGAUGAUCCCCCACACUAGAACUGAGACACGGUCCAGACUCCUACGUGAGGCAGCAGUAGGGAAUAUUGGUCAAUGGAGGCAACUCUGAACCAGCCACGCCGCGUGUAGGGAGAAUGUCCUUAGGAUUGUAAACUACUUUUAUCAGGGAAGAAUGACGAGUAUGCGUACUCGGAGCGACGGUACCUGAGGAAUAAGCACCGGCUAACUACGUGCCAGCAGCCGCGGUAAUACGUAGGGUGCAAGCGUUAUCCGGAAUUACUGGGUUUAAAGGGUGUGUAGGCGGUUUUUUAAGUCUGUGGUGAAAGGUUACAGCUCAACUGUAAAAGUGCCAUGGAUACUGGAAGACUUGAGUAUUAUAAAGGAAGGUGGAAUUCGUGGUGUAGCGGUGAAAUGCAUAGAUACCACGAGGAAGGCCGAUUGCGAAGGCAGCUUUCUGGAUAAUAACUGACGCUAAAACACGAAAGCGUGGGGAGCGAACAGGAUUAGAUACCCUGGUAGUCCACGCCGUAAACGAUGGAUACUCGGUGUGUGGUUUCGGACUGCGUGCCUUAGCGAAAGCGUUAAGUAUCCCACCUGGGGAGUACGUCGGCAACGAUGAAACUCAAAGGAAUUGACGGGGGUCCGCACAAGCGGUGGAGUAUGUGGUUUAAUUCGAUGAUACGCGAGGAACCUUACCUAGGCUCGAAUUGUACUGGACGGUAUUAGAAAUAGUACUUCCUUCGGGUCAGUAUGAAGGUGCUGCAUGGUUGUCGUCAGCUCGUGCCGUGAGGUGUUGGGUUAAGUCCCGCAACGAGCGCAACCCCUAUUCUUAGUUGCCAUCAGGUUAUGCUGGGGACUCUAAGGAGACUGCCUGCGCAAGCAGUGAGGAAGGUGGGGAUGACGUCAAAUCAUCAUGGCCCUUACGCCUAGGGCUACACACGUACUACAAUGGUUGGUACAAAGAGCAGCGAGCUAGUAAUAGCAAGCGAAUCUCAUAAAGCCAAUCUCAGUUCGGAUUGGGGUCUGCAACUCGACCCCAUGAAGUUGGAAUCGCUAGUAAUCGCGUAUCAGCAAUGACGCGGUGAAUACGUUCCCGGACCUUGUACACACCGCCCGUCAAGCCAUGGAAGUCGAGGGUACCUGAAGAUGGUGACCGUUAAAGGAGCUGUCAAGGGUAAAAUUGGUAACUAGGGCUAAGUCGAAACAAGGUA